UUUUAAAAUAAUUAUGUACUCGAGAAUAUUUUCGAACGAAAGAUGGCGCGAUGAUCAACCGGAUACGGAUAUUCCGGUAGCCGGAUGUGACCUAUAGCUAGGGGAAGUUUCGCACGUUUUUGAUAAGUCUUGACCGUUGCCGUAAUCUGAAGAAAUGAAAAUGCCAGCAUCAUAGACUUCGAAAUGAUAACUCCGAGAAACGUAUUCAGAGUCGUGCUAUGCACUCUACUGGUCUGCAUUUUCUGUCUCUUCCCACUAUUUUUUGUUGCCUAUAAAUACGGCAUAGACGGAGGACUCGUAAUUUACGUGAUGUCUCUGGCCAUGAUCGUCGGGAGCUAUGUAGCGGUGGCAGUGAUCCGAUUGGCCAGGAGAAGACCCGGAGUUUGCAGUCCAACUGACAUCAUUUCGGAUGCGAAAUCUUCAUCUUACGAGAUUUCAGAGAUGGAGAUGGACUCCGACAUCUUCAUCACGGAAUCUUCUGGGAAACUAUUACUCGACCAUUCGUCUUUCCAGUGCUAAAUUUAAGGUGAAUAUGAUGCAGACUUUUGUUUAAAACAAAUUAAUGUGUUUUUACGGCAUAUAAGACACAAUUGCCUUGCAUCUUGUGUGAUAUUGCAAUUUCCUGUAAGCUAACAGAUUUCCCAAAUAGGCUAUUGAUGAUUACUACUUACCCAACUCUUGAAUUAAAAGACAGAACUAGGCAGUUUUUGAAUGUAACAAAAAUUAAAUGUGCAUUUUAAUGGUAAAUGACUUCUUUUAAACUCCUGUUUUUCCAUGAUUAAAGAAAAGUACAAAUUUAAUUUUGUUUUAACCAGAAUAUAGUAAAAAAAAAAUUGGUGUCAAAAGCAGUGUGUCCUGUAUGCCGUAAUUAAUUAUAACUUUUCACUUUCUGUAUAAGGAAGAUUUAAUUGUUGCGUCUUUCAAGGAAAGCAAGUUGUGUGAAUAGGAAGUGUGUUAAAGGGUUAAAAAGUUUGGGAAAAUAAACAUUAUUUAUAUAUUCUGGCAAUCUAUUGCCACAAUACAUUGUUUUAAUUCGAACCGGAAUUCCUGUAAAUGACAAGUUUGAGAAAGAAAACUUUUCAUUUUUGUCUACAAAAAGAUUUUAAUUGAUGUUCUUUUGUGAAUAAUCAAUACGAUGAAGUAGAAUAUGCAAUCAGUUUAAAUAAGGCAUCAUCUGAUCACAGGUCUGCGGGGUGGAAAGAGCUUUAGAAAUGUUGGUCACUCUAGCAGGGGAGGUUACGACAUGCCUCUCGGGCAUUUUGCUAUCAUGUGGGGCUAAGCCUUGGUACAAAUCGAGUUUAAAAAAUCACAGAGUGGCUUAAUUUAUUUUGAAAAAGUUCUGUAAAACUUCCACAUGACAGCAACUUAUUACAUUUUGUGUGUUUAUUCUCUAUUAAAAAAGUCCACUCAUCAAGAUGCAUGCAUUUGAUGAAAGGUUGUGUAAAACUUGUUCAUAAAUUACUCGAAUUUUUAAUUUUGACAAGCACACUUUCUUCCUUUGUAUGAAUGACCUUUUAUCAAAAUCCAUGAGGACUAAGUUGUACUUCUAUGCAUUCAAAGCGUGAAAGCUUUUGUUUCUAGCAAUUUAAUUACUAAGUACAAACGUUCUCGGGUGGAACGUUGGUUACCAGAUAUUCAACUGUUGUCGUUGCUGAUAUCGACAUUGACAUCAGCAAUGACGUCAGUUGAAUAUCUGCUAACUGAUGUUUCAACCAACCUUUACUGUACCUGAAGAAGGCCAUUUAAAAUGGCCAAGAACAUUUGUACUUAACUGAUUAAACUGCUAGAAACAAAGUGUGAAAGGUUUUGUCUUACUUAUAGACUAAGUCGUAACCUCACCACCUAAACUGAAUUGCAAAAAUGAAAAAUAUCACAUGCCAAAGGUUUGUAAUGAUAACAUCGAGGUUUUUAAAUGUUAAGGAUAUAUAAUUCUUCUAUGCAAAAAGAACAAAAAAAUUAAGAUUUGUGAGAAAGCGGCAUUUGAUCAAAUGCCAAGUGGUUGCAGUUUCUACUCAUUUCAAACGAGAGAUUAUCAAAUAUUGUUAAUUGUUUUUGUAAUUUUAUCCCAGAGAGCAAAUGUAAUGUUCUUAUAUAAUUAUAUAUUUUAUUAUAUUGAGAGAACUAUUUAUACAUUUUUAAUAAAUUAAGAUAAUGUGCUUUUGUAUGUUUGUCAAAAUAAAGAAUAUGUAAAGUCAACAAAAUGAAUCCAAAUA
rnacentral:lncRNA from 1 species